GAGAGUUAAACAGUACGUGAAAUUGUUGAAAGGGAAACGAUUGAAGCCAGUCGUACCUGCGGAUAAUCAGCCUUUAGAUGCGAUUUUGUGGAGCGUGAAGAGCUAAUCGCCUUCAUGCCUGUAUAUUCGUGUACUUGGGGUGUACUUAUUCGUGUGGUAAGUUAACAUCAAUUUUGGUUGUCAUAAAAUGAUUGGAGGAAUGUAGCUUCGAUCUCGUAUUGAAGUGUUAUAGCCUUUGGUAGAUGUGAUGAUCGGGAUUGAGGAUUGCAACGGAUACCCUUCGGGGCUACCUGUCUGAUCUCUGAUUGUUGCUUUGGUGCUGAAAGCUUGCUUAUGGUUAUCAAAGUCGAUGGUCAAUAGGUUAGAAUGGGUUAAAUUCGUUAAGGAUGUUGACGUAAUGGCUUUAAACGA
rnacentral:rRNA from 1 species